rnacentral:rRNA from 1 species
CAGCCUGCCCAGUGACAAAGUUCAACGGCCGCGGUACCCUAACCGUGCGAAGGUAGCAUAAUCACUUGUUCUUUAAAUGAGGACUUGUAUCAACGGCACUACGAGGGCUAUACUGUCUCCUUUUUCUAAUCAGUGAAACUGAUCUCCCCGUGAAGAAGCGGGGAUCAAAAUAUAAGACGAGAAGACCCCAUGGAGCUUUAAACUUACCACACACCUCUGUGAUACCAUACCAUUUAACACAAGAGACCUGCGUGCUAGUUUUAGGUUGGGGGGACCACGGAGUAUAAUUAAACCUCCACAACAAAUGGGCUAAUACCCUUAUCCACGAGACACAACUCUAAGAAUUACUAAACUAAUGCUUAUGACCCGAUAUUCGAUCAAUGAACCAAGUUACCUUGGGGAUAACAGCGCAAUCUACUUCAAGAGCCCCUAUCGACAAGUAGGUUUACGACCUCGAUGUUGGAUCAGGGUAUCCCGGUGGUGCAGCCGCUACCGAUGGUUCGUUUGUUCAACGAUUAAAACCCUACGUGAUCUGA